CCCCACUUAGCUCAGAUGGAAGAGCGUGGGUUUGUAAUUGGCUGAUCAAACUCUGCUUGUCGAAAGACAUGUGCACCCGAGGCCCUCGGUUCGAUUCCGAGAGUGGGGA